GUAGUAUCCAACACUUGUGCCGGGAAGCUUCUGCAUGCCUUCUGGGUCGUGGUCAACUAGCGAUAUGAUGGAGUUGCAGCUCAGGGAAUUCUAGCAGACGACUGUGAAUGGUGGUCUGUGUGUUCUCCUAAUCUUUGAGUUUAGUUUUUAUGGAUUCCCUGAAAUGGAUUGGUUUCCAAAUCUUAAGAAAAAUGAAGAAAUUGAAGCCCAAAUGUUAUGAAAACUCUGAUUCGGAAGAAAUUAGUUUUGCGGAGGAGUCUGUGGAGUAUGAUUUCAUCACUAUUCAGAAUGCAACAAAUAACUUCUCCCAGACAAACAAGAUAGGAGAAGGAGGUUUUGGUGUUAUGUACAAGGUAAAUUUAGCAUUUACUUUAAUAUGGUUAUUAUCGUUUCCUCUGUUUCCGCUUUGGACUAAUAUUUUUACUGCAUUUAAUAAGCCGCAUUUGUUUCUACCCUGUUUCAGCCAAUUUAUAGUUCCAUGAUUUUGUAUGUUUAGCAUGCUUGAACAAUUUUAAAACUUCUUGCUUCCUUCUGUCUUCUUUAAACUCUCUGUAUCACAUGUUCUACAUCAUAGCAUAUAGAUAUAAUACACUUUUGAUUUUCUAAAAGUCAAUAGUUAAUUUUUUUU